UACGUAGGUGGCAAGCGUUGUCCGGAAUUAUUGGGCGUAAAGCGCGCGCAGGCGGUUCUUUAAGUCUGAUGUGAAAGCCCACGGCUCAACCGUGGAGGGUCAUUGGAAACUGGAGAACUUGAGUACAGAAGAGGAAAGCGGAAUUCCACGUGUAGCGGUGAAAUGCGUAGAGAUGUGGAGGAACACCAGUGGCGAAGGCGGCUUCUGGUCUGUAACUGACGCUGAGGCGCGAAAGCGUGGGAGCAAACAGG
rnacentral:rRNA from 1 species